CAGUAGCCGCGGUAAUACGGAGGGGGCUAGCGUUGUUCGGAAUUACUGGGCGUAAAGCGCACGUAGGCGGCUUGGUAAGUUAGAGGUGAAAGCCCGGAGCUCAACUCCGGAAUUGCCUUUAAGACUGCCGAGCUAGUAGGUGAGAGAGGUAAGUGGAAUUCCGAGUGUAGAGGUGAAAUUCGUAGAUAUUCGGAAGAACACCAGUGGCGAAGGCGGCUUACUGACUCAUUCUAGACGCUGAGGUGCGAAAGCGUGGGGAGCAAACAGGAUUAGAUACCCCGGUAGUCCCUGUCUCUUAUAC
rnacentral:rRNA from 1 species